CAGAGUUGCAAAACUCCCAAACCAUUGUGAACGUUACCUAAACCGUUGCUUCGGCGGGCGGCCCGGGUCUCUCCCGGCGCCCCUCGGCCCUCGCGGGCGCCCGCCGGAGGUAAACCUAACUAUUGAAUUGUAUGGCCUCUCUGAGUCUUCUGUACUGAAUAAGUCA
rnacentral:misc_RNA from 1 species